rnacentral:rRNA from 1 species
UACGGGGGGGGCAAGCGUUGUUCGGAAUUACUGGGCGUAAAGGGCUCGUAGGCGGCCAACUAAGUCAGACGUGAAAUCCCCAGGCUUAACCUGGGAACUGCGUCUGAUACUGGAUGGCUUGAAUUCGGGAGAGGGAUGCAGAAUUCCAGGUGUAGCGGUGAAAUGCGUAGAUAUCUGGAGGAACACCGAUGGCGAAGGCAAUCCCGUGGGCCUGCACUGACGCUCAUGCACGAAAGCGUGGGGAGCAAACAGG